GCCGAGGUGGUGGAAUGUUAGACACGCUAGCUUCAGGUGCUAGUGGGCGUAAGCCCGUGAAAGUUCAAAUCUUUUUCUCGGUA
rnacentral:tRNA from 1 species